rnacentral:rRNA from 1 species
GACGAACGCUGGCGGCGUGCCUAACACAUGCAAGUCCACGAGAAAGCGGUAGCAAUACUGCCGGUAAAGUGGCGAACGGGUGAGUAACACGUAGGUAACUUGCCCUUGGGACUGGAAUAACCUCGAGAAAUCGGGGCUAAUACCGGAUAAUGCAGCGGACCCGCAUGGGUAUGUUGUUAAAGUGGUCUUGGCUUGCCAAGUUCACACCUAAGGAUGGACCUGCGUCCCAUUAGCUAGUUGGGAGGUAACGGCUCACC